rnacentral:rRNA from 1 species
GAUGAACGCUGGCGGCGUGCCUAAUACAUGCAAGUCGAGCGAACAGACGAGGAGCUUGCUCCUCUUACGUUAGCGGCGGAUGGGUGAGUAACACGUGGAUAACCUAUCUAUAAGACUGGGAUAACGUCGGGAAACCGGAUCUAAUACCGGAUAAUAUAUUGAACCGCAUGGUUCAAUAGUGAAAGACGGUUUUGCUGUCACUUAUAGAUGGAUCCGCGCCGCAUUAGCUAGUUGGUAAGGUAACGGCUUACCAAGGCUACGAUGCGUAGCCGACCUGAGAGGGUGAUCGGCCACACUGGAACUGAGACACGGUCCAGACUCCUACGGGAGGCAGCAGUAGGGAAUCUUCCGCAAUGGGCGAAAGCUUGACGGAGCAACGCCGCGUGAGUGAUGAAGGUCUUCGGAUCGUAAAACUCUGUUAUUAGGGAAGAACAAAUGUGUAAGUAACUAUGCACGUCUUGACGGUACCUAAUCAGAAAGCCACGGCUAACUACGUG